UCAGAAAGGAGGAACACCCCAUCUCAAGUCUCCAAAACUUAAAUUUUUAUAAACUACUUUCUG
rnacentral:tRNA from 1 species